UGCCCCAUGGCUGAGUUGGUUACAGCGUCCGACUGUUAUUGACAUCGGAAGGUCGAGAGUUCGAGCCUCUCUGGGGCAG
rnacentral:tRNA from 1 species